UGGGGAAUAUUGCGCAAUGGACGAAAGUCUGACGCAGCGACGCCGCGUGAGGGAUGAAGGCCUUCGGGUUGUAAACCUCUGUCAGGAGGGAAGAACCGCCAUGGUAGUAACUGCCCAUGGUCUGACGGUACCUCCAAAGGAAGCACCGGCUAACUCCGUGCCAGCAGCCGCGGUAAUACGGAGGGUGCAAGCGUUAAUCGGAAUCACUGGGCGUAAAGCGCGCGUAGGCGGCUUUGUAAGUCAGAGGUGAAAGCCCACGGCUCAACCGUGGAACUGCCUUUGAUACUGCAAGGCUACGAGUUUGUGAGAGGAUAGUGGAAUUCCUGGUGUAGGAGUGAAAUCCGUAGAGAUCAGGAGGAACAUCAGUGGCGAAGGCGACUGUCUGGCACAACACUGACGC
rnacentral:rRNA from 1 species